GCCGGGCAUGGUGGCGGGUGCCUGUAGUCCCAGUUACUUCGGAGGCUGAGGCAGAAGAAUUGCUUGAACCCAGGAGGCGGAGGUUGCAGUGAGCCGAGAUUGUGCCACUGCACUCCAGCCUGGGCAACAGAGUGAGACUCCGCCUCAA
rnacentral:SRP_RNA from 1 species